rnacentral:rRNA from 1 species
UACGGGGGGGGCAAGCGUUGUUCGGAAUUACUGGGCGUAAAGGGCUGGUAGGCGGCCAACUAAGUCAGACGUGAAAUCCCCAGGCUUAACCUGGGAACUGCGUCUGAUACUGGAUGGCUUGAAUCCGGGAGAGGGAUGCAGAAUUCCAGGUGUAGCGGUGAAAUGCGUAGAUAUCUGGAGGAAUACCGGUGGCGAAGGCGGCAUCCUGGACCGGCAUUGACGCUGAACAGCGAAAGCUAGGGGAGCAAACGGG